rnacentral:misc_RNA from 1 species
UGCUGUUCGCGCCGCGGUAUAAAGUUAUUAAAGUUUUGAACAUAAGGUUUAGCGACUUGUUUUAGAUAAUAAUUGUACAUUUUAUCAAGUUGAUAUUAUUAAAGUGUACAUUUUCUUUUCAUAAAGGAGUAAAUAGUUUGGUAUUCAGCUAUAAUUUGUAUUGAUAAAUCUCUCACGAUGCCGCAGGAACAAUUUGUCAUCCAAUGUUACUCUUGUGAAAUGUUUCAGGCACACAUUGUGAAGAAGUCCAAUCAAUGGCAAUGCAAAGUAUGCGGUGAAAAACAAUCAAUUAAAAAGGUGUUUACUCGAGGUGACGGAAAGCACUGUAGAGAACAAACCCAGUACCUGAAUUCCUUGAGGCAACAGAUGGAUUAGAAGAAAAACCAAACAAUCACGCCUCGUUACCAAAUGCAACUUCAUAAGUCAUAACUUCUGUCAAGAUUGAGAUACCAAUCGACGAAUGCACUUAUCAGUCCUGUUGAUUACUACUUUGGCAAAAAUGAAAUAAAAUAUGAUUAAAUAUUAUUCCUGGACCUAAAAUCAAGUGAAGAAGCAGUGUAUGAUUUCUUAACUACAACCUUUGGUCAACAUUAACAUUUUAUAAAAUUUUUUGGAGAGAAAUAGUACAUACUCAGCAUAGUUUCUCC